UACGAACUGUGCAAACGUUAUUCGGAAUUACUGGGCGUAAAGCGUGCGCAGGCGGUUGUGCAAGACAGAUGUGAAAUCCCCGGGCUCAACCUGGGAAUUGCAUUUGUGACUGCACGGCUAGAGUGUGUCAGAGGGGGGUAGAAUUCCACGUGUAGCAGUGAAAUGCGUAGAGAUGUGGAGGAAUACCGAUGGCGAAGGCAGCCCCCUGGGAUAACACUGACGCUCAUGCACGAAAGCGUGGGGAGCAAACAGG
rnacentral:rRNA from 1 species